GCAUGGAAUGAACAAAGGCUGCUCUUU
rnacentral:piRNA from 1 species